GGUUUUGAGGGUGAUCUGGCUGCAACAUCUAUCACCCCAUUGAUCGUCAAAUUUGAUUUGGGUGAUCUGGCUGGCUAGGCGGGUGUCUCUUUCCUUCCUCAAAGCUCCACAUGCAUCCCUCCUGAAGCUGCAUGCUUGGUCAAAGAGGAAGACCUUCCCCGAUAGAGGAAGACAGGUCUUUGGUCAAGGUUAUACGAGUAGCUGUGCUCCCCUGCUAGAACCUCCAAACAAGCUCUCAUGUGUAAUACUCUUAAACAAGGCUGACUUUCCACUUCCCAGCUUCUAUCAGUUGCCAAUAAUUACUUAGAU
rnacentral:snRNA from 1 species